rnacentral:rRNA from 1 species
UACGAAGGGGGCUAGCGUUGCUCGGAAUCACUGGGCGUAAAGGGUGCGUAGGCGGGUCUUUUAAGUCAGGGGUGAAAUCCUGGAGCUCAACUCCAGAACUGCCUUUGAUACUGAGGAUCUUGAGUUCGGGAGAGGUGAGUGGAACUGCGAGUGUAGAGGUGAAAUUCGUAGAUAUUCGCAAGAACACCAGUGGCGAAGGCGGCUCACUGGCCCGAUACUGACGCUGAGGCACGGAAAAGCGUGGGGAGCAAACAGGG